CCCGUUGGGCUGUGGAAGGUUAAACUAAUUAACGGAAUCUAAGCAUGUAGAGCCGAUGGCAGAGUGCUGACGGACGCGGGUUCGACCCCCGCCAUCUCCACCA
rnacentral:tmRNA from 1 species